GAUGAACGCUGGCGGCGUGCCUAAUACAUGCAAGUCGAGCGAACGGACGAGAAGCUUGCUUCUCUAAUGUUAGCGGCGGACGGGUGAGUAACACGUGGAUAACCUACCUAUAAGACUGGGAUAACUUCGGGAAACCGUAGCUAAUACCGGAUAAUAUUUUGAACUGCAUGGUUCAAAAGUGAAAGACGGUCUUGCUGUCACUUAUAGAUGGAUCCGCGCUGCAUUAGCUAGUUGGUAAGGUAACGGCUUACCAAGGCAACGAUGCAUAGCCGACCUGAGAGGGUGAUCGGCCACACUGGAACUGAGACACGGUCCAGACUCCUACGGGAGGCAGCAGUAGGGAAUCUUCCGCAAUGGGCGAAAGCCUGACGGAGCAACGCCGCGUGAGUGAUGAAGGUCUUCGGAUCGUAAAACUCUGUUAUUAGGGAAGAACAUAUGUGUAAGUAACUGUGCACAUCUUGACGGUACCUAAUCAGAAAGCCACGGCUAACUACGUG
rnacentral:rRNA from 1 species